UCAGGCCUAACACAUGCAAGUCGAGGGGUAGAAGGAGCUUGCUCCUUUGAGACCGGCGCACGGGUGCGUAACGCGUAUGCAAUCUACCUUUUACAGAGGGAUAGCCCAGAGAAAUUUGGAUUAAUACCUCAUAGUAUAUAACCUUCGCAUGUUGGUUAUAUUAAAGUUCCAACGGUAAAAGAUGAGCAUGCGUCCUAUUAGCUAGUUGGUGUGGUAACGGCACACCAAGGCAACGAUAGGUAGGGGUCCUGAGAGGGAGAUCCCCCACACUGGUACUGAGACACGGACCAGACUCCUACGGGAGGCAGCAGUGAGGAAUAUUGGACAAUGGGCGCAAGCCUUUCAAGGGCAUGCCGCGUGCAGGAAGACGGUCCUAUGGCUUUAAAGGGCUUUUGUACGGGAAGAAACACUCCUACGUGUAGGAGCUGAC
rnacentral:rRNA from 1 species